ACGAACGCUGGCGGCGUGCUUAACACAUGCAAGUCGAACGAUGAAGCCGGAGCUUGCUCUGGUGGAUUAGUGGCGAACGGGUGAGUAACACGUGAGUAACCUGCCCCAGACUCUGGGAUAAGCGUUGGAAACGACGUCUAAUACCGGAUACGAGCUGCGAUCGCAUGAUCAGUAGCUGGAAAGAACUUCGGUCUGGGAUGGACUCGCGGCCUAUCAGCUAGUUGGUGAGGUAACGGCCCACCAAGGCGACGACGGGUAGCCGGCCUGAGAGGGUGACCGGCCACACUGGGACUGAGACACGGCCCAGACUCCUACGGGAGGCAGCAGUGGGGAAUAUUGCACAAUGGGCGCAAGCCUGAUGCAGCAACGCCCGCGUGAGGGACGACGGCCUUCGGGUUGUAAACCUCUUUUAGCAGGGAAGAAGCGAAAGUGACGGUACCUGCAGAAAAAGCACCGGCUAACUACGUGCCAGCAGCCGCGGUAAUACGUAGGGUGCAAGCGUUGUCCGGAAUUAUUGGGCGUAAAGAGCUCGUAGGCGGUUUGUCGCGUCUGCUGUGAAAACGCGAGGCUCAACCUCGCGCCUGCAGUGGGUACGGGCAAACUAGAGUGCGGUAGGGGAGAUUGGAAUUCCUGGUGUAGCGGUGGAAUGCGCAGAUAUCAGGAGGAACACCGAUGGCGAAGGCAGAUCUCUGGCCGUAACUGACGCUGAGGAGCGAAAGCAUGGGGAGCCAACAGGAUUAGAUACCCUGUAGUCCAU
rnacentral:rRNA from 1 species